rfam:Canis lupus familiaris chromosome 8, whole genome shotgun sequence.
GCCUGGGUGGCUCAGCGGUUGAGCGCCUGCCUUCGGCCCAGGGCAUGAUCCUGGCGUCCUGGGAUCAAGUCCCAAGUCAGGCU